rnacentral:rRNA from 1 species
UACGUAGGCAGCAAGCGUUGUUCGGAGUUACUGGGCGUAAAGGGUGUGUAGGCGGUUAUUUAAGUUUGGUGUGAAAUCUCCCGGCUCAACCGGGAGGGUGCGCCGAAUACUGAAUGACUUGGAGUGCGGGAGAGGAAAGUGGAAUUCCUGGUGUAGCGGUGAAAUGCGUAGAUAUCAGGAGGAACACCGGUGGUGUAGACGGCUUUCUGGAUCGUAACUGACGCUGAGACACGAAAGCGUGGGUAGCAAACAGG